GACGAACGCUGGCGGCGUGCUUAGCACAUGCAAGUCGAACGGAAAGGCCCUGCUUUUGUGGGGUGCUCGAGUGGCGAACGGGUGAGUAACACGUGAGUAACCUGCCCUUGACUUUGGGAUAACUUCAGGAAACUGGGGCUAAUACCGGAUAGGAGCUCCUGCUGCAUGGUGGGGGUUGGAAAGUUUCGGCGGUUGGGGAUGGACUCGCGGCUUAUCAGCUUGUUGGUGGGGUAGUGGCUUACCAAGGCUUUGACGGGUAGCCGGCCUGAGAGGGUGACCGGCCACAUUGGGACUGAGAUACGGCCCAGACUCCUACGGGAGGCAGCAGUGGGGAAUAUUGCACAAUGGGCGGAAGCCUGAUGCAGCAACGCCGCGUGCGGGAUGACGGCCUUCGGGUUGUAGACCGCUUUCGCCUGUGACGAAGCGUGAGUGACGGUAAUGGGUAAAGAAGCACCGGCUAACUACGUG
rnacentral:rRNA from 1 species